rnacentral:rRNA from 1 species
GACAGAGGGUGCAAACGUUGUUCGGAAUUACUGGGCGUAAAGCGCGUGUAGGCGGCCAUCUAAGUCGGGCGUGAAAUCCCACGGCUCAACCGUGGAAGUGCACUCGAAACUGGAUGGCUAGAGUCCUGGAGAGGAAGGUGGAAUGCUUGGUGUAGAGGUGAAAUUCGUAGAUAUCAAGCGGAACACCGGUGGCGAAGGCAGGUCUCUGGGCACUUACUGACGCUGAGGAGCGAAAGCGUGGGGAGCGAACAGG